rnacentral:lncRNA from 1 species
UAAAUGUAUAAUAGGACAAUCCUUUUAGCCUAACGCGGAAGUAACCCGCUGCCAAUAGCAAAUCGCAAAUGUCCUGCAAUUUUGCUCUUUGUUCUUCAUCGUCCUUUACUUCAAAGAGCUCCUGAAAAAAAUCAACUCGGCAAUUUUAGUAAAGAAUCUCAAUCCUUUUUUGAAAAUCGAAACGUUACCCGCUUGUCCAUUAUACAAAACAGAGAAAUGUGACAGGCUGACACUAUUGCAAACUAUUGCAAGAUCGGUCGUGAUAUUUUCAUGACUUGUUUUUGUUUUUGGGUUCAAAAUUGAAACUAUAGAUGGCCAAUUAUGCAAAUGCUGCCGCAAAGCGGCGCACAUGUCUAUUGCAGACGAAAACUACAUACAAUUGUGCUGCGAUCGUUAGCAUUAAGCGCGGCAAAACAGCUGUGAAAAACAGCUGUUAGUUAGCCGUUUUUUUGAAAUAUUUCAGUUACCUGCUGUCUGAAGCUAGCAUGUUUGACAUUUUGUUACAUAUUAUUGAAGUUAAUUGUAAACUUGCAGAGUUGAAAACUGAUUUGAAAAGUUGGAAGAUCUUUGUUUAUAAUUACCAAUAAUGAUGGUGCAGAUCAUGAUUCUUGAACAAUGCUAAGUUAUCUUAUGAUUCUUUCAAAUACAGGGAUUAUAUUGAACAUUACAAUUUGCCUGCUGUGCUUGAGUUAACUUCAUCCCCAUGUCAUUGACCAGUGGCCCAGUCAUGUUAAGGGCAACUGUCAUGCAGCUUUGUCCUUUGCUGCUCUAUACUUUUCAAAGCUCUUCACUCUGUCUACUGACCAAGAUAUCAGAAGAAUUGAUCAACUCUGUAACUCCCUCACAGGUUGAUUAGGAGGGGAAACGUGGACAUAAUCAAAAAAUAUAUUUGGUUCAAUUCUGGCGUUAGAUGGCCAAGGAAGGAAAAGGCGGGAAAAAAAAAUGUGAUGUAAAACCGGUUGCCAACUUGCCAUAUUGCCAUAUCUUUCUUUUAAGAAGCAACGAAAAUGACGAAAAUGUACAUGCGACAAGUGUCAUCGUGUGGUGGAAAAAUAAAGCUUGAUGCCUUGUCGCGCAUUGAAGAGAACUUAUAUAAAGCCCUGCACCGAAUGAAUCAUUUUUCUUUGGUGCUGACUGUCGUCGUUCGUGGACGUAGGAUGAGUUUAGAUAAUCCCUGUUUGCAGUUCGACAGAGCAUGGUGGUGGCAGUGUUGGCUUAAGAGGUCAAAACUAACACAGCUGUUGGAAAGUAGGAUGAUGUAUUAAAUGGUGUUUCAACUGAGCUUUUGCUGCUUACAAGUCUGUUUUUCUGUCCAUGAGGCUGCAUUGUCUAAUGGAUGUUGUGGCUUUACUCCCUAAUGCCAAAGCAGUAGUAUGUGCUUCCAUGUCUGUACUUCAUGGUUUAGGCAUGAUGAAAUUCAAAUAUGAAUAUGAGAACAUGUUGGACCACUAUUUGUUAAUGCAGCAGCUUUGAUGACAUGCUUCUAUAUAGUGGAAGUAUCAUUAAGCAUUUGUAAAUUUUUUUUUGUGUAUGAUUACUCAAAACUACUUAAAGAAAGAGUUGGCAGGUAUCCUUAGAAUAGGUAAAGCUUUUCUUUGUUGCUCUCUUGUGAUCUGGUGAAGAGUUAGCUUCUUGUUACUUCAAUGACCAUUGUGCUUGAUUGCAUUAGUCUGCUACUGUUGGUUGACUCAUUGCAGGUGACUGCAUCAGCAAAGUGUUCAUUUUAGAGGGCACUUGCACGCUUAUUUGUGCAUGCAUUUGGACGAAGUGCAUGGCUCUGGCUUGUCCUGAUCAUGGAUUCUCCUCCUGACCUUAUUGUUACAUCCUCUGGUAUUACUUUGCAUCGUUUCCUCAUGCUGGCAUGGUACAAAUGUGAGGCAGGAUGGUCACAUGACUUGGCAUAUUGACAGAACAUGAAGUUGGAUUGCCCUCUUGCCAGUGUUGUAUACAGUGGUGGUUGCUCUAUGUUUGUACAUUUGUGGGAUUUUCUAUCCGCCGGUGGUGCUGUUUAGACGAUCGCAGGAUGCACGAAGCAACAGAUUAAUUUUACAUGUUUUUGUGGAAUUAGGUCUGCGUACGCCGAAGCCGAAAGGGACGUGACAUAUGAUGAAAAUUUAUGCCAAUUGAAGUUGAACUGCGCCUGAAAAUAUCCUUAAUUUUCUUAGAGUAGAUUUAGCAGUGUAUGUUGCAUUUUCUGUACCCCGUUUUACUUGUCUUGUGAUAAGGUCAUAGUGUGGUAGAUUGUUCUGCGGUGAUUUACAUGGACAUGGAAUUUACUCCAUUUGCAAUAUUAUCAGCGGGAUAAAAGGGUUUUCACAUAUGCUAAUUUAUGUCAAUCUUUACCUGGAAUAUGUUCUCCAAAAUUGUCUUGUUACUCUUCCGCUUCUAUUUGCUAUAAUGCUUUUUCUUGGUGAACUGUUAAUAACUUGUUGUAAAUGUAAAUAGUAUUGAUAAUAAACGAUAUAAAAUAAAA